rnacentral:rRNA from 1 species
UACGAAGGGGGCUAGCGUUGUUCGGAAUUACUGGGCGUAAAGCGCGCGUAGGCGGUGCAUCAUGUCAGAGGUGAAAUCCCGGAGCUCAACUCCGGAACUGCCUUUGAAACGGGUGCGCUAGAAUCCGAGAGAGGAUGGCGGAAUUCCUAGUGUAGAGGUGAAAUUCGUAGAUAUUAGGAAGAACACCGGUGGCGAAGGCGGCCAUCUGGCUCGGUAUUGACGCUCAGGCGCGAAAGCGUGGGGAUCAAACAGGAUUAGAUACCCUGGUAGUCCACGCUGUAAACGAUGAGUGCUAGUUGUUGGGAAGUUUACUUCUCAGUGACGAAGCUAACGCGAUAAGCACUCCGCCUGGGGAGUACGGCCGCAAGGUUA